rnacentral:rRNA from 1 species
GCAUAUCAAUAAGCGGAGGAAAAGAAACCAACAGGGAUUGCCUCAGUAACGGCGAGUGAAGCGGCAACAGCUCAAAUUUGAAAUCUGGUCCCCUCUGGGGGCCCGAGUUGUAAUUUGAAGAGGAUGCUUUUGGCGAGGCGCCUUCCGAGUGCCCUGGAACGGGACGCCACAGAGGGUGAGAGCCCCGUAUGGUAGGACGCCGAGCCUCUGUAAAGCUCCUUCGACGAGUCGAGUAGUUUGGGAAUGCUGCUCAAAAUGGGAGGUAAACCCCUUCUAAAGCUAAAUAUUGGCCAGAGACCGAUAGCGCACAAGUAGAGUGAUCGAAAGAUGAAAAGCACUUUGAAAAGAGAGUUAAACAGCACGUGAAAUUGUUGAAAGGGAAGCGCUUGCGACCAGACUUGCGCCCGUCGGAUCAACCGUCCCUCGUGGGCGGCGCACUCCGGCGGGCUCAGGCCAGCAUCAGUUUUCCCGGGGGGAGAAAGGCGGUGGGAACGUAGCUCUUCGGAGUGUUAUAGCCCGCCGCGUAAUGCCCUCGGGGGGACUGAGGACCGCGCGUAUGCAAGGAUGCUGGCGUAAUGGUCGUCAGCGACCCGUCUUGAAACACGGACCAAGGAGUCGUCCUAAUAUGCGAGUGUACGGGUGUAAAACCCCUGCGCGUAAUGAAAGUGAACGGAGGUGAGAGCUUCGGCGCAUCAUCGACCGAUCCUGAUGUUCUCGGAUGGAUUUGAGUAAGAGCAUAUUGGGCCGGACCCGAAAGAAGGUGAACUAUGCCUGUAUAGGGUGAAGCCAGAGGAAACUCUGGUGGAGGCUCGCAGCGGUUCUGACGUGCAAAUCGAUCGUCAAAUAUGGGCAUGGGGGCGAAAGACUAAUCGAACCUUCUAGUAGCU